rnacentral:rRNA from 1 species
CAGUAGCCGCGGUAAUACGAAGGGGGCUAGCGUUGUUCGGAAUUACUGGGCGUAAAGCGUGCGUAGGCGGUUUGUUAAGUCUGCUGUGAAAUCCCCGGGCUCAACCUGGGAAUGGCAGUGGAUACUGGCAAGCUAGAGUGUGUCAGAGGAUGGUGGAAUUCCCGGUGUAGCGGUGAAAUGCGUAGAGAUCGGGAGGAACAUCAGUGGCGAAGGCGGCCACCUGGGACAACACUGACGCUGAGGCACGAAAGCGUGGGGAGCAAACAGGAUUAGAGACCCCAGUAGUCCCUGUCUCUUAUAC